GACGAACGCUGGCGGCGUGCUUAACACAUGCAAGUCGAACGGAAAGGCCCUGCUUUUGUGGGGUGCUCGAGUGGCGAACGGGUGAGUAACACGUGAGUAACCUGCCCUUGACUUUGGGAUAACUUCAGGAAACUGGGGCUAAUACCGGAUAGGAGCUCCUGCUGCAUGGUGGGGGUUGGAAAGUUUCGGCGUUGGGGGAUGGACUCGCGGCUUAUGAGCUUGUUGGUGGGGUAGUGUCUUACCAAGGCUUUGACGGGUAGCCGGCCUGAGAGGGUGACCGGCCACAUUGGGACUGAGAUAGGGCCCAGACUCCUACGGGAGGCAGCAGUGGGGAAUAUGGCACAAUGGGCGGAGGCCUGAUGCAGCAACGCCGCGUGCGGGAUGACGGCCUUCGGGUUGUAAACCGCUUUCGCCUGUGACGAAGCGUGAGUGACGGUAAUGGGUAAAGAAGCACCGGCUAACUACGUG
rnacentral:rRNA from 1 species